rnacentral:rRNA from 1 species
UACGUAGGGGGCAAGCGUUUGUCCGGAUUUACUGGGCGUAAAGCGCGCGUAGGCGGGUUUGUAAGUCGGAAGUGAAAUCUCACUGCUCAGCGGUGGGGCUGCUUCUGAUACUGCAAAUCUUGAGACCGGUAGAGGUUGGUAGAAUUGCAGGUGUAGCGGUGGAAUGCGCAGAUAUCAGGAGGAACACCAAUGGCGAAGGCAGCUCUCUGGUACGUGACUGACGCUGAGACGCGAAAGCGUGGGGAGCGAACAGG